AGACUGGCAAUAUUUGCCAAAGAGCUGAUUAGCAUAUAAUCUGAAUAAAGGUCUUCAAGAACUCUAUUAACUCCUAACAACUAACUAUUAAAUGCUUUUAAAUAAAAGAAAAUCUUUUCACCAGUUAACGAACAAAAUUUCCUCUCUAUUUAGCUAUGCAAAAAUUGCAGGAAAGCUAAAGGCCAUCUGUGGGACUGCAUCAUUACUACUAUAGGUAAUAUUGAAUGUACUAUAGGUAAUAUUGAAUGUACUAUGACCCUUUUAGGUACACUAUAUAAUGUAAAGAAAUGUAGAACUGAAUGGAGCAACAGUAUCAUGACUGUUGCAGCAAUGCAGCUAAGAUCCAAGACCAAUGGACAAACUAGUUUUUUCCUCACAGAACAUCCUAUCACGUGUCAUGGGAUCCUUCUUGUCACCACAACACUCUCCAGGUCUCCAUGAGAAACUGAAACCCUGAAUUACUGAAUAGAACAAAAUAUUUACACGACGAACUCUCGCAAAUCCAGAUUCUUUUCCUUGAUAAAGAGGAUGGUGAUUUCAAACUAGCUCAAAACUAUUACACAGAUUUACCCAGAUUUUUCUUGCUCGCUAAGGUGAUUAUUUGAGGUAUGAACAGGAUAAGACACUUAACAAGGUUUGGAAAGAACUAUUGCCUCCCUUCUUGUGUUCAAUUAGUCAUUAGUCUGUGAUCAAUUGAUCAUUACCAUACCCAAGCUUAUCUUUUCACAAUUUGGAGAAAAAAAAUCAACUAGCAAUAGAUAGCAUCCCUGAUAUGUUUCAUUUACUUCCUUUACUAAUGAACUGACCACAAAGCUGCAAGUACAACAUAGAACUAGAAAGAGUGUCUUGUGGGAAAGAAUAAAAAAGUUGAGGGCUAUCAGGAUCUUGCAAAUUAAUGCUACUUCUAUUCAAAUAAAAUUUGAAAAUAACCUUUCCCAUAAGAUCUUCUCAAAGGAUAGCAGUACACGCACCAG
rnacentral:lncRNA from 1 species